GUGAUUCCAUGCAAACUAGGAGAGAACUUGACUCGUUUCUGGAGAAGUGAGAUGAAAUUGCAGAUGACACCAACGGGUGAAUGGUACGAGUUUGAAGUAGGAAAGCGUGGACGAAAAUACUACCUGACUGGAGAAUGGGAGAUGUUUGCAAGCAUAUACAGAAUCAAACACGGCGACAAGCUUCAUUUUAGUGUUGGUUCACUUGUGCAUGAACACCUGGUUGUUGGCCAUGUACGCCGGCUGUCAGGCGAUGUUGCGAUGCCUAGAUGCACAAUAGCGGAAUACAAGGCUGAACAAUGAUUUCAGGGGAUGGAGUGA
rnacentral:rRNA from 1 species